GAAAUUCUUUAUACUCAAAUGAAAUUAGGCAUGCAAUAGCCAGUACCAGGUGCAGAAAUGUGUGAAUUUGCAAAACUUAUUUCUGCCAGAAUUUCUUAGUGAAGUUGAAGCAGACAUAACUUUCAACUACAAAAAAACUACUCAGUCUUUAUGAUUAAACCCCAGAAUCUCAUGAAUUAACAAUUAGUAGAGGUUUGCUUUUCAAUUCUUUUGACUACUCUUGCUUGACAUAACCAGGAACUAUCAUAGUAACCAAUACUAAGGCAUUUGUGAGUGUGAAGAACUAGCAAGGAGCAUUAUUUUUAACUUUUGUUUCUAAGCAGUGCGAUAGCAACAACACUGGUGCUGCGACAACACUCCUCUGCCUCAGCUCUGCCCACAAGCCCUACCUUAAGCUAAGGAAGAGUACAUGCUUGGAGAAUUCCAUUAUUAAUGAUCUACAAAAUUUACAUCGUUAUAUGAAAAAAAAAAUAAUCUUCUGCCAACAUUUGGACAUUUCAAACUUGUCUUACUGCUCAAAAUAAAAAACACAGGGAUCAGUCAUUUUGGCAGGAAAAGCUUUUUUGUAUGGUUCGUAAUGUGCAUUGUCAGAAUUGACCUUGAACUGAGAAGCCUAGCCUACCAUGUUAUUGAACAGCACCAAAGAACAAUCUCCUGUAUCAUGAGGGGAGGGCAGGUAUUACAGAAAGCAUUCAAAAUGGUGAUCAAGAGAAAGAGCACCCCUGGAAGUGAAAGCACCUCUCUGGACCUGCAGGAGAGCUUACUAUAAGUGAAACAGAGAGCUAUCAAAAAGUGAAGCCACCAGACAAGUGAGAAGACAUUACAUAUGGUCAUACAACAGCAGAAGCCAGGAGAGAGCUCAGCUGCAUAGCAACUGAGGUUUCAGAAGAACAGAAGACUGAGGCAUCUUCCUCCUUUUAUGCAAGGAAUUAUGAAGAUAGCCUGAAUUUCAAAAGCCCAGGAGAAAUAAGAAAGGGGGAAAGAGUAAACAAAAAUAGGAUGUGAACCCCUUUGACUUUCCAUAGAGUUUGUAUCUUCAGCAUAUCAAAACAGUACUGAAAAAAGGGGAUCAGUAGCAACAAGGAAAAAAAAAUACUGCAGGAAAAAAAGUAAGAUAGAGAGAAAAUAAUCUCCUAAGAUCACUUUUUUUAAGAAAUGAAAACACUUAGCCAAAUUGUCAGUGUCCUUGGUCAAGUGCAUUGUAUAUAAAAUCUGAAGUUGCAGAGAAGCAGAAAACUUUUGUCCCCUGUAAAAUUGGUAGGAAAAAGAAAAAAAAGCAAAUAUGGAAAAAUAUUUUCUUUAAACAUGAAUAACAGUCCGUUUUUUCUGCAACAUGUGAUAUUCCAUGAGUAUCCUGCUUCUGCUUUUUGAGACUGAAAAUCUCUGAGAACCUUCUGGAGGAAUCCAUACCCUCCAGAAGGCAAAUUCCUCCAAGCUCCUAUAAAACUUAGAAAAAAAAUACAAACCUCAAACUACUCUGUUCCUUCCUGCUGUCAUACAAACACAGGUGUCUGUAUCUUAGAACCUUAAAGAUCCUGUAUUAUUUAUUUUUGCUUCUUAGAGAAUGAUACCCGGGUUUGUGUCCACACUGUGCUUUUCUGAUGACCAGCCAGUCUGAAGUGGCAUUUGCCUGCCUGUUUACCAAACAUCCAGCAUAGUGUGGUUGGCCUUUAUUCAGGGGAUAAAAGUAGGUCUCCCAAGACAUCCUGAACCUUCAAUUCUUGGUAACUUCAUUCUGCUAUGACUAUAGGAAAGGUAAGCACAGGUUCACUCUUUUUGUCUGAGAAAUGCCAGGACUGUUACAAAGCACCAAGGGGAAUCACAGUUUUGCUGCUAGUGAGCAAAGACUAGUUUUUCUCUGAAACCAUUUCUUUAUUUCUAUACAAAAUAUAGAAAUAUAUUCUUAUUAGAAUAUAAGAAUAGAUAAAUAUAUAUAAAUAUAUAUAUAAAUAGGCUUAUUGCUCUUCAUAUUAUACUUCUGUCUUCUACUGGAGAAGGAAGAGGAAAUGAGAAGAAGUAAUCUAUUGGCAGCUUUUCAUGUUACUGUUUAUGUCCAUUGUUGAAUCAUGAGAAUGAAUUACAGAACAACCCUGAAUUUAUAGAAGCAAUUGGUUUUCACAUUUCACAACUAACAUCCAUUUUAAUAAUUUAGUGCAUUAAUAAAUCAUCAUCUUUGCAGUGCAUUGCACUGCCCUCUCUGUCUCUCUUUACCUUUUCAUUCAAAAACAUUCUGCCUGUAUGAUAUACCUGAUAUCGUGUCUCCUAUUGUUCCUGCAUUACUGUAUCUCUCAGGCCACCCUCAAAGUCAUCUACUUCAAAUACAAAUGUGAAUUUUGAAACUGCAGAAGGUGUAGUAAAAAAUUACUCGAAUAAAUCUGUUCUAUUUUAUUUAGCUACUGAUUCAGCUGUUCCACUUUGCAACUGUUUGUGAUUUGUGGACUUGAGGGAGAGCAGUCUCCUCCUCACAGUUUCUUGGUUAGAGAAAGAAACCAUUCAAAAGCCCUACUGUGGGCUAUUAUCCCCAAAGUUCAAAUUUAAAUCCUGACUUUCCAAACAACUUUCCUCUUUCCUGUGGAGCACAUCUUGAAUACAUUUCUUCUGAGGGAAUUUCCAGCUCCUUCUCAAAGCACCAUCACAUUACUAAUUUGUUAUUGAUUAGGGAAAUAUUAGCAUAUCUCCAAUCUGAAGGUUGGUUUUUUUUCACUCUGGUUAUUUUCUUUGUUUCCAGCAACUACAGAGCAUUAGGAAAUCUAUUUAGUGGGGGUUAAGUGAGCUCUGCAGAUCAUUCAUUGGCUGUUGGUCUAAAGCCACACUGCUGGGUUGAUGUUGCAUAUCCAUUUAGUCUUAUGAUUUGAGGUUUCAUGCUAAAUUAACAGUUUUAGGGGUUGUAACUAAUUUUUACACACAGUAUCAAGUGAAGUUAUUUUGCUGCUUCAUUAUCUGUUUAAAUAGAAGUCUGUGACCCUAUGUUUACCCAGAUAUAUAGUACACAUUGAUUAUAUGCAAAUAAUCAAUCUCUUUUGGGUUUUCUGAUAAGAAAUUGCCAGAAAGCUAAAGUAAAAAAAUUCUUAGAAUAAACUCAUUGACAUAAAAUUAAUUUUCUUCUCUCUGUACUCUAAGUCAUCUAGCAUGCUUCCAGUAGUUGUAACAAUACUGAGCUCUUUCAGAAACAAGUGUAAUA